UAAAACUGUACAUAAAUAGAUUGAACGAUAAAAACAAGCAUCAGAAUUUGUGACAGGGCAAAACGUAUUCUUCUGCUUCUUCUGCAGAGAACAUCAUUUGGCAUUCUGACGUCCAUCUUGUUCUGCAGGCCUUCGUUGGCAUCUUAAAUAAACCCUAUUUCACGCAACUCCCGGGGGGAGUUCUGCCGGACAGCGUUACGGCCAACGUUACUGAUGUUUGUGCUUGUUAACUUCAAUGAUAACAGUCUUUAAAAGAAAGGAUUUUUAAUUUUGACUGUUUUUGUUCGCUCUACUGGCCGGGAAUCGAUGUUUCUGGUUUCAUGCUGACCGAGGCUCAACCCACACCCAAGAGGAAAACAUAAUUGGCGGUUGAUGUAAGGGCCGCACACAAUUCCCAUAUCUUUGCAGCGGUUUGGGAGUUUGCUUUGCUGGCUGAUGGACAGCGCGUGGGCUGAUAGUCCGGCCGGGGUCAGAAGCAUUGUCCAUCACAGAGUCUAAACGGAAUCCAAAUGGUCCAGAGGUGAAAGGUGCAAAACCCGGAAAUGCGACACAAUCUUCCAGAUCGAGAAAAACCCAGGUGGACGGCCGAGCGUUCCCUCUCCACCUGAAACUCCCUCACUGGAAAAGUGCAGCGUCAACACAUUGAGAUGCCAAGACUUUUCAUUCUUCAUCUAAAAUGAAAUUGCACGGAGUGAUUAAGCUAAUACCACUUAAGUUGUUUUAAAAAUUUACAUCUAUUCACGGUUGACUUCAGGUGGUAGAAAGAAGGGCCUCCACACAUGCAUGUGUAUUCCUUUAUAUAUAUAUAUUUUUCAAAUGUACAACAUCAGCCCUCUCUCUAUAACAUAGAAUGUAUAUAACCCAUGCCUCCGUGCAACAGGGGAAAGUGGGUGUCUCUGUGGUCUCCGUCUCUGCCCUCUGUGUCUCCUGUGGGCCAAUUCCCAGUGACAUUCUGCCAAACCCCAAGGUAGCAAGCCAUGAAAAUGAGUGUGUUGCCCUGUGGGUUUAAAAAAAGACAUGUUUUGAUCCAUCCUCUUCGACUAUUCCUUCCCAUGCUUGUUCUCCUAUCUACAGAAUUAGUUCUGUGGGGUAGAGUGGAAAUUAAAGUUCAAUCACUUAGGUUUUCUGCUACCUUACCAUUAUUGCUACCAAAAGGGCUGCAAAUUAAGAUUCUCCUUGUCUCUCUGCAACCACUUGGAGACUGAAAAUUGUGUCACAGGGGACAUGAUGCAGUAAUUUGUGGCGUACAUAAAUAUGAUACAUUAUACAUAGAGAAGCUUUGUGUAUUCAUUUUUCCCAUCGGCUCUCU
ensembl:lncRNA